AUACGGAAGGUGCAAGCGUUAAGUCGGAAUCACUUGGGCGUAAAGCGCUCGUAGGUGGCUUUGUAAGUCAGGUGUGAAAGCCCACGGCUCAACCGUGGAAUUGCACUUGAUACUGCAUUGCUUGAGUUCGGGAGAGGGUAGUGGAAUUCCAGGUGUAGGAGUGAAAUCCGUAGAGAUCUGGAGGAACACCAGCGGCGAAGGCGACUACCUGGACCGAUACUGACACUGAGGAGCGAAAGCGUGGGGAGC
rnacentral:rRNA from 1 species